UACCGCAAAGGACUAAGUCAUGGCAUUCAGAAUUUCGAUCUCAAGGAAGACUCUGAAAAUACCCAAAAGUUUGAGAGUGAGUGGGGAUGUGAUGCAAGACAUUACAAAGAAGGGUUUCUGACCCUCAACAGAAUCUCAUAGAGAAGAUCAGGAUCAUAAAUCCUCAGUUAAUUUUCCUCGGAGUGUUUCUGUAAGAAGUCACCCAUGUGAAUCUGUCAUGCAUGACAAGCUAUUCCUGAGAAAUGUGCUAAAAAUGAGAAGUAACACAAGCACUGCUGGAAACAAAGAUAUAAAGCAUCUGGAAAGCAAGACUGGAGGAAGGCUGCAGGCAGAGGUGGCCGAACUGUAGAGAUUUCCAGCUGAGGAGAAAAUGUAUGAAUACAGUCAAGUGGAGACGUCUGUCAGUGGUUCCUCAGUGUCAUCAUUUCAAAGAAUUCUCCCUAGUGUGAAAAACACUUUGUUACCUGCACAACACAGGAGAACACACCCUAGAGACAAAGCUUACACCUGUAGUGACUGCGGGAAGGCUUUUAGCAAAAGAUGAAAGCUCACAAGUCACAAGAGAAUUCAUUCAUUCUGUAAUGAUUGUGGCAAAGCCUUUAACCAGUAUUCACACCUCACCACACACCAGCGAGUCCACACAGGAGAGAAAUCUUAUAAAUGCGAUGUGUGUGGCAAGGUCUUCAGGUGAAAUUCACACCUUGCAAAUCACCAGAGGAUGCACACCGGCGAGAAACCUUACAGUGUGAUGAAUGCGGCAGAGCUUUUAGCCAGUUUUCACACCUUAGCAGACAUCAGAAAAUGCAUGCUGGAGAGAAACCACACGAAUGCAGUGCAUGUGGCAAGCACUUCACCCAGCGUUCAAAUCUCACGGCACACCAGAGAAUUCAUACAGGAGAGAAACCUUAUCAGUGUAAUGAAUGUGGGAAGGCUUUUAUUGAACGGUCGCAACUUUGGGGUCAUGAAAGAACUCAUACUGGAGAGAAACUUUACAAAUGCGAUGAGUGUGGCAAAGCCCUCACAAGGCAUUCAUAUCUUACCCAACACAAAACCAUCCAUACUGGAGAAAAACCUUACAGAUGUCAUGAGUGUGGCAAAGCUUAUACGCAACUUGCAAGCCUCACCAGGCAUCUGAAGUACAUAUGGAAAAAAAAUCUGAGCCUCACAUACAUGGCAGCCCUUUUAUCCCAAGCUUAAUGUAUAGGGAUGAUCAGAGAUUUCCUAGUAGAAGGAAACUUGAAAGCAAUUCAGACCACAGUUGCGGGUGUGUUCAAGCCUUACUCAUCAUGUGGGAAUCUCGGUUGGCGAGAAGACAUGCAGAUGGUGAGCAGAAGCAGGGAAGAUGCUCAGCGUCACUGACCGCACAGCAAGUGCGGAGCCAAAGCUCCACGCGAUGCCACCUUGCGCCAGCUGACGACAGCCAUCGUCGGACAACAAAUAACGCGUGAGGAUGUGGAGAAAAAGGAACCCCUUGUGCUCUGGCUGGGACUCUACACUGGUGCAACGCUCAUGGGAAACAAGAUGGAAUUUUCUCAAAAAAAAAAAAAAAAA